GACGAACGCUGGCGGCGUGCUUAACACAUGCAAGUCGAACGGAAAGGCCCUGCUUUUGUGGGGUGCUCGAGUGGCGAACGGGUGAGUAACACGUGAGUAACCUGCUCUUGACUUUGGGAUAACUUCAGGAAACUGGGGCUAAUACCGGAUAGGAGCUCCUGCUGCAUGGUGGGGGUUGGAAAGUUUCGGCGGUUGGGGAUGGACUCGCGGGUUAUCAGCUUGUUGGUGGGGUAGUGGCUUACCAAGGCUUUGACGGGUAGCCGGCCUGGGAGGGUGACCGGCGACAUUGCGCCUGCGAGACGCACCAGACCCGUACGGUAGGCAGCAGUGGGGAAUAUUGCACAAUGGGCGGAAGCCUGAUGCAGAAACGCCGCGUUCGUGAUGACGGCCUGUGGGUUGUAAACCGCUUCCGCCUGUGACGAAGCGUGAGUGACGGUAAUGGGUAAAUAAGCACCGGCUAACUACGUG
rnacentral:rRNA from 1 species